rnacentral:rRNA from 1 species
CGCCGACUAGCUAGCCCGCUUAUCCAAAAACAACAAAUCACUAUCAAUACCCCCUAAUACAAUCCACCCACAAUUUAAUCAAAUCAUUUUUCCUCCCUAGUAUGGGCGACAGAAAAGAACAUACGGAGCAAUAGACAAAGUACCGCAAGGGAACCCUGAAAGAGAAAUGAAACAAGUCAGUAAAGCCCCAAGAAGCAGAGAUUUCACCUCGUACCUUUUGCAUCAUGAUUUAGCCAGAGAAAAUCAAGCAAAAUGCAUUUUAGUUUGACAACCCGAAACUAUGUGAGCUACUCCGAGACAGCCUAUUAAUAGGGCGAACCCGUCUCUGUGGCAAAAGAGUGGGAAGAGCUCUGAGUAGAGGUGACAGACCUACCGAACUUAGUUAUAGCUGGUUGCCCGAGAAUUGAAUAGAAGUUCAGCCUCCCGGCUUCUCCACUCCACCCCUGGUUCCACCGCCAAUGAUCCAAAGAAACCGCGAGAGUUAGUCAAAGGGGGUACAGCCCCUUUGAAACAGACACAACUUUAUCAGAAGGAUUAAGAUCAUA